UACGUAGGGGGCAAGCGUUGUCCGGAUUUACUGGGCGUAAAGAGCGUGUAGGCGGCCAAGCAGGUCCGUUGUGAAAACUGGAGGCUUAACCUCCAGACGUCGACGGAAAACCGCCGUGGCUAGAGUCCGGAAAGAGGAGAGUGGAAUCCUGGUGUAGCGGUGAAAUGCGCAGAUAUCAGGAAGAACACCGGUGGCGAAGGCGGCAUCCUGGACCAACACUGACACUGAGGAGCGAAAGCCAGGGGAGCAAACGGG
rnacentral:rRNA from 1 species